rnacentral:lncRNA from 1 species
AUUAUUUCAAAAAUGAAAUAGAAAUAAGUGUACCGUGUAUAUAAACCAGAAUUUUGAGAGAUGUCUGCAUAGUUUUGGCUGAGAUAAUCAUUCGAAAUAGCUUGAGACACUCAAAGAAGAUGAUGAACUUUACAAAACACGUGUUCGUCGCCUUGGUGUUACUUGUUCUCGUGGUGGACACGUGCCAAACUGCCGGUAAACGGAAGCGGUUGUGUCGAUUGAAGAAGAAGAAAGGUGAAUGUGUUGAUAUUAUACCAAGGAAAACCAUGAGGAGAUACAAGCAUUGUCCAGACUUUGAUGUGGCAACCUUGGGAAGAUGUGCUAAAAUUAACGGUACUUGUACAAUGAUCGACACUGCAAAGGGUAGAAACAUUUGUGAAUGUAUGGAACCCGGAAGUAGAUUAUUUCGAGAUCAACCACGGAAUACACGAAACUGAGAAAUGAAAUGGAAACACCAAUCUCUCACAGUUUACACUUCUGAUAUAUCUACCACAAGGAAGACAGAAAUUUUGUUUUGAAAUGUGAAAACAUGUAGUGCAGAAAUCUAUUUCAAAAAUCGGCUGGAAACUUAUAUUUUUAACAUCUAGCAGAUGAUGUGACUGAUUCUAUCUGUUAAUUGAACAGUUAAUAUAUACAAUUACUACAUGAUGUAAAUCUGCAGAAAUAUGAUACAAAAUGUAGUGAGAAAAUAACAAAAUUAUCCCAUAGUAUCCAUAGAAUAAUUUUCAAAUUUAAUUACAUGGUAUAAUGUUUAAACCAACUGCAAAGCAACUGAUCUUUUCAAAUGUUAAGAGAACAAUAAAUAAUUCGACGAAAAAGUGUGUUCUUUU